UACCAACAUCCAUGAUGAUGCCAGCA
rnacentral:piRNA from 1 species